UACGAAGGGGGGCGAGCGUUGUUCGGAAUUACUGGGCGUAAAGGGCGCGCAGGCGGCUCUGAAAGUCAGAUGUGAAAGCCCCGGGCUUAACCUGGGAAUUGCAUUUGAUACUCUGGAGCUUGAGUACGGGAGAGGAUAGUGGAAUUCCCAGUGUAGAGGUGAAAUUCGUAGAUAUUGGGAAGAACACCGGUGGCGAAGGCGGCUAUCUGGACCGUAACUGACGCUGAGGCGCGAAAGCGUGGGGAGCAAACAGG
rnacentral:rRNA from 1 species